GACGAACGCUGGCGGCGCGCCUAACACAUGCAAGUCGAACGGAGCUGAGAGAAGCUUGCUUUUCUUAGCUUAGUGGCGAACGGGUGAGUAACGCGUGAGUAACCUGCCCUGGAGUGGGGGACAACAGUUGGAAACGACUGCUAAUACCGCAUAAGCCCACGAUCCGGCAUCGGAUUGAGGGAAAAGGAUUUAUUCGCUUCAGGAUGGACUCGCGUCCAAUUAGCUAGUUGGUGAGGUAACGGCCCACCAAGGCGACGAUUGGUAGCCGGACUGAGAGGUUGAACGGCCACAUUGGGACUGAGACACGGCCCAGACUCCUACGGGAAGCAGCAGUGGGGGAUAUUGCACAAUGGGGGAAACCCUGAUGCAGCGACGCCGCGUGGAGGAAGAAGGUUUCCGGAUUGUAAACUCCUGUCGUUAGGGACGAUAAUGACGGUACCUAACAAGAAAGCACCGGCUAACUACGUG
rnacentral:rRNA from 1 species